AGAUGGUGCUGUAAUAGUCACAAACAUAUGGCUCACAAUUUUAGACAAACAGUUGGUAACAGGCCUGGAGGAAACUCAUUUGCAAGAUGGGAUCAAGGCACUGGAACAUCGUUGGACUAAGUGCAUUAAUCAAGAAGACUACAUUGAAAAAUAAAAGAAGUUCCUGUGAUAUGAAUCUGGUACUUCAACACAAGCACCACAAAUUAAAGGAAAUAGAUGGAAGUAAUAUAUCAUUUGGAACCAAAAUGUAGAAAAAAAUAAACCACGAUUACUACAGAAAAUAAAAAACCACAUGAUGCAAAUUGUUCAAAACA